rnacentral:rRNA from 1 species
UGGGGAAUUGUUCGCAAUGGGCGCAAGCCUGACGACGCAACGCCGCGUGGAGGAUGAAGGUCUUCGGAUUGUAAACUCCUGUUGCUCGGGACGAAAAGCUUCGACCUAACACGUCGAGGUCUGACGGUACCGAGUGAGGAAGCCCCGGCUAACUCUGUGCCAGCAGCCGCGGUAAUACAGAGGGGGCAAGCGUUGUUCGGAAUUACUGGGCGUAAAGGGCGCGUAGGCGGCCUGCUAAGUCGAACGUGAAAUCCCUGGGCUCAACCCAGGAACUGCGUCCGAUACUGGUUGGCUUGAAUCCGGGAGAGGGAUGUGGAAUUCCAGGUGUAGCGGUGAAAUGCGUAGAUAUCUGGAGGAACACCGGUGGCGAAGGCGACAUCCUGGACCGGUAUUGACGCUGAGGCGCGAAAGCCAGGGGAGCAAACGGGAUUAGAUACCCCGGUAGUCCUGGCCCUAAACGAUGAAUGCUUGGUGUGGCGGGUAUCGAUCCCUGCCGUGCCGAAGCUAACG